GACGAACGCUGGCGGCGUGCUUAACACAUGCAAGUCGAACGGAAAGGCCCUGCUUUUGUGGGGUGCUCGAGUGGCGAACGGGUGAGUAACACGUGAGUAACCUGCCCUUGACUUUGGGAUAACUUCAGGAAACUGGGGCUAAUACCGGAUAGGAGCUCCUGCUGCAUGGUGGGGGUUGGAAAGUUUCGGCGGUUGGGGAUGGACUCGCGGCUUAUCAGCUUGUUGGUGGGGUAGUGGCUUACCAAGGCUUUGACGGGUAGCCGGCCUGAGAGGGUGACCGGCCACAAUGGGACUGCGAUACGGCCCAGACUCCUACGGGAGGCAGCGGUGGGGAAUCUUGCACAAUGGGCGGAAGCCUGAUGCAGCAACGCCGCGUGCGGGAUGACGGCCUUCGGGUUGUAAACCGCUUUCGCCUGUGACGAAGCGUGAGUGACGGUAAUGGGUAAAGAAGCACCGGCUAACUACGUG
rnacentral:rRNA from 1 species